AUAACAGGGAAGAAUUUCAAUUUAAAAAAAAAAAAAAAGAAGCAGAGCUUGUGAUAUAGGAUCUACCAAAUCUAAUGUCUAAAUUCUUUGCUAAGAAUAGAUUAUAAUGAUAUAAUUUAUAGCCAACAUCUUUUUUGAAGGAGCUUUGUAAGUUUCUGUCAAUUAAAUUAGUAGACAUAUACAGCUCUACCACUACAUUUUUGGUAAAAACACUUCUAAGUUAUUCUCACCAAAAAAAGUCAAUGCAAGAUUUGUGGAAAUUCAGACCCAGAGAAUGAUCAGGCUAAACAUCACAUGGCAUAUCAGCUUUAGAAUGGAACCCAAUAAUGGCUGUCUUUGACUUAAAGAGUUUCUGAGCCAAAGACACAAUAAUAAUGGGGAAUUUUAGGAAUAGAGAAUAGAAAUGUGGAUGAAAAAAGGUUAAUUGUUGAAAACUAGCCUAAUUCUUUUUUAAACAAAGGAAAAGGGGAACGGCUCUACUGGUACCUUGGACAGAGCAUUAAAAUGGAAGUUCCAUGAUAAAAGGAAGAAAAAUACACCUUCAUUACAUUGUAGAGUUAAGAAACCAUGCCAGUCACAGUGCCUCCAACCAGAGAUCAAAGAAAUCCUCUGCGAAACCCUUCAGUUUACAGAACUCUGUCAAUCAGUCUGUCAAUGUUCCGGAUUAUUAUCCAAGUAGCAAUCCCAAAUUUUGCUGGAUAUAUCAGAUCAUCUCCUGCUCCAUAGAUUAACAGUGUGGCUUCUUCCUGUUUACAAAGAUGAAAAAGUGGAAAAGUGGUGGAUAUUAUUUGGAGAGCCAAAAAAAGGCACUGUUAUUGUAUCAAUAAAAGGAGACCAUAUGUCCACAUU